rnacentral:rRNA from 1 species
GAUGAACGCUGGCGGCGUGCCUAAUACAUGCAAGUCGAGCGAACAGACGAGGAGCUUGCUCCUCUGACGUUAGCGGCGGACGGGUGAGUAACACGUGGAUAACCUACCUAUAAGACUGGGAUAACUUCGGGAAACCGGAGCUAAUACCGGAUAAUAUAUUGAACCGCAUGGAUCAAUAGUGAAAGACGGUUUUGCUGUCACUUAUAGAUGGAUCCGCGCCGCAUUAGCUAGUUGGUAAGGUAACGGCUUACCAAGGCAACGAUGCGUAGCCGACCUGAGAGGGUGAUCGGCCACACUGGAGCGGUGACACGGUCCAGAGUCCUACGGGAGGCAGCAGUAGGGAAUCGUCGGCAAUGGGGGAAAGCCUGACGGAGCAACGCCGCGUGAGUGAUGAAGGUCUUCGGAUCGUAAAACUCGGUUAUUAGGGAAGAACAAAAGUGUAAGUAACUAUGCACGUCUUGACGGUACCGAAGCAGAAAGCCACGGCUAACUACGUG